rnacentral:rRNA from 1 species
GCCUAGCUAUAACACACAAUCAAACUACAAAUUGUUCGCCAAACAACUACGAGAAAUACUUAAAACUUAAAAGACUUGACGGUACUUCACCCCGACCUAGAGGAGCCUGUCUAAUAACCGAUAACCCACGAUUAACCCAACCACUUCUUGCCCUACAGUCUAUAUACCGCCGUCGCCAGCUUACCUUGUAAAAGAAAUAAAGUGAGCCAAAUAGUAACACACUAAAACGACAGGUCGAGGUGUAACCCAUGAAGAGGUUAAGAUGGGCUACAUUCUCUAACAGAGGAUACGAACAACACUAUGAAAUUAGUGUUCAAAGGCGGAUUUAGCAGUAAGACAAGAAUAGAACACUUAACUGAAAAUAACGCAAUGAAGUGCGCACACACCACCCGUCACCCCUGCCACCAC